CUUAACUAGAGAGACCAGACCAAGGACAAAAGAUCGCAGUGGACUGUAUGUGAUUGACCUGACAAGAGCUGAGGGAGAAAAUAGACCUAUUGCCACUCUUGACUUAACUUUAGAACCUGUCACUCCUUCCCAGAGGGAGCCAACCAGUCUUCAGACAUGUGCCAGCCUCUCUGGCAAAGCGGUGAUGGAAGGGCAGGUGGACAGAAGCUCUCAGCCUACAGCACGGAGACUCAUUAACAGUGACCCUGUAGAUUUGGACCUAGUGGAAGAAAACACCUUUGUAGGUCCCCCACCCGCUACAUCCAUCAGCGGAGGCUCUGUUUAUCCAACAGAGCCUAAUUGUAGCUCAGCCACAUUCACAGGGAACCUCAGCUUCUUGGCAAGCCUACAGCUGUCUUCAGAUGUUAGCUCCCUCUCCCCAACAAGCAAUAAUAGUAGCAGCAGCAGCAGCAGCAGCAAUCAAAAAGCACCCUUGCCAUGCCCACAGCAAGAUGUGUCUCGCCCACCACAAGCCUUGCCUUGCCCACUGAGAGCCUCACCUUGUCCACCACGAGCCUUGUCAUGCCCAUCACAAACCAUGCAGUGCCAACUACCAGCUCUAACUCACCCACCUCAAGAAGUGCCAUGCCCUCGGCAGAAUAUCCCAAGCCCACCUCAAGACUCGUUAUGGCAUCCUCAACACUCACCAAGCCCACCUCAAGACUCUCUGGGCCUACCUCAAGAUGUGCCAGGCCCGCCUCAAAGCAUAUUACAUCCACAAGAUGUGGCAUACCUGCAAGACAUGCCACAGUCACCAGGAGAUGUGCCACGGUCACCAGGAACCAUGCCACCAUCACCAGAUGUGCCACAGUCACCAGGAGACAUGCUAGGGCCACCAGGAGAUGUGCCACAGUCACCAAGUUAUGUUUCACCGUCACCAGAUGCACCACAGUCACCAGGGGGCAUGCCACACUUACCGGGAGAUGUGUUAUGUUCACCUGGAGACAUGCCACACUCAUCAGGGGACGUGACACACUCACCUAGAGACAUCCCUCACUUACCAGGAGACAGGCCUGACUUUACCCAGAAUGAUGUACAGAACCGUGACAUGCCUAUGGAUAUCUCAGCUCUGUCCUCUCCAAGCUGCUCUCCCAGCCCACAGUCUGAAACUCCCUUAGAGAAAGUUCCUUGGCUCUCUGUCAUGGAAACCCUAGCCAGAAAAGAAAUAUCACUGUCAGAGCCUGCCAAACCUGGGUCUGCCCACGUACAAUCACGAACACCACAAGGUGGGUUGUACGACAGACCAUGCCUGCAUAGACUGAAGUACUUCUUACGACCUCCGGUUCAUCACCUCUUCUUUCAGACGCUAAUACCGGAUAAAGACACAAGAGAGAACAAGGGUCAAAAAUUAGAACCCAUCCCUCAUCGAAGACUAAGAAUGGUAACAAAUACCAUUGAAGAGAAUUUUCCUCUGGGGACUGUGCAGUUUUUGAUGGACUUUGUGUCACCCCAGCAUUACCCACCAAGAGAAAUCGUGGCUCACAUCAUCCAGAAAAUCUUGCUCAGUGGCUCUGAGACUGUGGAUGUCCUAAAGGAGGCCUACAUGCUUCUCAUGAAAAUUCAACGGCUACAUCCAGCCAAUGCCAAGACAGUGGAGUGGGACUGGAAACUGCUCACCUAUGUCAUGGAGGAAGAGGUUUUGGGGGAACAGAUGGUGUUUGGGUACAUAGGUAAGUUCUCCAGUGGUGAUUACUGAGAUUUUGGGGCACCCAUCACCCGAGCAGUGUACACUGUACCCAAUGUGCAGUCUUUUAUCCCUCGCCCACUUCUCACCCUUCCCCCUGAGUCCCCAAAGUCCACUGUAUCAUUCUUAUGCCUUUGCAUGCUCAUAGCUGAGCUCCCACUUAUAUGUGAGAAUAUACAUUUGGUUUUUCAUCCCUGAGUUACUUCACUUAGAAUAAUGAAAUCCCCAUACACCUAGGUUCAGGGCUCCUCCCCAGGAAACUUCUGAGGUUUGGGGAGUCCCAGGAGAGAAGUUAGGAAACUCUGGCCUCCAUCCCCUCCCUGUAGCAGCCAAAGUUCUUAGGGAUUUAGAGGCGAUUUUCUUUUGUCCUUUCUAAGAAUUGACAUCAUUGGUCUCAUCUAGACUUGCUUCAAGCCCUACUGAUGAACCUUUGACAGAGUCUUCCCCCCAAUCUGACCCUUCUCCAUUUUUCCAGAAAAGGGAUUAGAUAGGAAAGUCACAUAUCCAGGGGCCUGCAGCCUGUGACUUCAGAACUGGAAGUCUAAACCCUACAGCCCCUUCUUCUUCUGAGCCACCUACUAUUGUUGCAGAAUUGUGUGACUGAGUCUUGUCUCCUUAAAACGGCCGUAAACUCUUGAGUGCAAGGAUUGUAUUAGUCAGAGUAAAGCUAUGCUGCUAUAAAAAAUAGUCCCUACAUGCAAAGGUUCAAUACAGUAGAUGUUUAUUUCCUGCUUACAAGGCAGUCUUCAGCAUGUGUAUGUCCAUGUGGUCAUUCAGGGAUCCAGGCUCCUUGUGUUUUCUGGCUCCACCUCACCCUAGUUCCUAAUCAUCAUCCAUAUCCACCUGAUGGAAUAGAAAAUAGCGUGAGGUGUGUUCCCAGGAGGCUUUGCAUGGGUUAGACCUGGAGGGCAAACACAUCACGUCUGCUUAUGUUCCAUCUGGAAAAACAUUUGAGUUGCCACAGCAAAUUGCUAGUGAGAAUGAGAGAUGGAGUUCCCUGUGUCUCCAAGAAGGGGAUGACUUUGGCAGAGCAGCUCUUCUGUUCCCUGACUUCUCUUUCUCCUGCCAGAACCCAGCACCGAGAGGGACCAUCAGAGGAUGUUCCAUGAGAACUUGGUGAGGGUUGUGGAGAGGUUGGCUGGUGCUUCUCCGUCUUCAUACAGAUGUCCAGACAGGGGACCAGAAGUCUCAGGUCUGAGCUCUACCUGGAAGCCCCUCACGUCUGUAGCCAUCAAACCUCCAGAUAAGACGAGCCCUGAAGCAUUUUGGUUGCAUCAGAAAACAGAUGGAAGGCCAGUCUUCACAGAUGCAUAUACUUCAUCCUGGCUUCCACCCACAGAGGUUGCAUCUGUGCAGAAAUUCAUCCCAGAGCACCAGGCAGGUGGGUAUCAACUCCUGCUGAGAUUUCGCUGUAUCAGGAAACUCAUGCAUCUGGUGCAACUGUCCCGGAGUGGCUCUGACAGUCCAGGGCUGGGCAGUGGAGACACUGAUGACAGCCUUGAGCAGAGUGGUUUUAGUAGGAAUGGCAGAGACAAAAGCCAGGCUAGAGGAGUUUAAGGAAGGAACAGAGGUAAGUAAGCUAGAAAUGAACUUUUCCAGUCACUUGGAAAAAAUAAGACCAAAGAUGAUUAUGCAUAUCACAACUGAUACACACAUAGCCCAGGGCCAGGUUCCCUCCUCUCUGGAACCCCUGAUUACUGCUGGUGCUGUUUUAUCUCCCCAGGUAGCCACUGUGUCUUUAUCUCCCUCCAGAGAAGCAACACGCUCCAGACUCUGAUGCACUGGAGGCAGGAGACAGCUGCAGGUGGUGGUGUGCUCUGGAAGAGUAGAAACAGAGACCCCUCAUAGAUACCCUGUCUUCAGAAUAGACCUAGGCUCUUCACCCCACCACCCCUGCCACCACCCCACCCAAGCCACUGCAGUGUCUUGCCCAGACAAGGGGCAUGGCCAACUAACUGAUCCCUCAGAUCUUGCCCUGGUCCCCCUAAGAUAACUCUUUAUAUGGCAGCUUUCUCCAUCUUAGCACUUUGGGAGGCCGAGACAGGUGGACUGCCUGAGCUCAGGAGUUCAAGACCAGCCUGGGCAACAUGGUGAAGUCCAGUCUGUAUUAAAACUAUAAAAAAUUAGCUGGGCAUGGUGGCGCACACCUCUAAUCCCAACUACUGUGGAGGCUGAGGCAUGAGAAUCACUUGAACCUGGGAGGCAGAGGAUGCAGUGAGCCGAGAUGGUGCCACUUCACUCCAGCCUGGACAACAGAGCAAGACUCUGUCUAAAACAACAACAACAAAAACAAACAAAAGAAGGAAGAAAGAAGGGAGGGAAGGAGGGAAAGAGAAAGGAAAGAAGGAAGGAAAGAGAAAGAGAAAACACUAUAACAGAGAUGAUGAAGGCAUUUGAUGGGACCAUCAGUAGACUGGACAUAGAUGAGGAAAAAAUCAGCCUGAAGAUAUGUUAAUAGAACCUUCCCAAACUGUAAUGCAAAGAAAAAAAUGGGGAAAAAACAGAUUAUACAAGAACUGUGGGAUAUUUUCAAAAGGUAUAAUAUAUGCACAAUUGAAACACCACAAGGAGAAGAAAGGGAGAACAGAGCAGAAGAAUCGUGAAAGUUAUAAUGGCUCCCAGUUUUCCAAAAGUAAAGGCAGACCCCAAGCCACAGAUCCAGUAAGCUUAGAGAACACCAAAUAGGAUACAUACUUAAAAAAAAAAAUCAACACCUACAUAUAUCAUAUUCAAACUGUAGAAAACCAAAGACAAACACAAAAUCUUGAAAGAAGCCAUAGAAAAAAACCCAGCUUACUUAUACAGGAAACAAAUAAGAAUUACAGCCUUCUUGUCAGACACCACGCAAGCAAGAAGAGAAAAGGGUGAAAUAUGUAAAGUGUUGAAAGAGAAAACUGGCCGGGCACAGUGGCUCACGCCGGUAAUCCCAGCACUUUGGAAGGCCGAGGUGGGUGGAUCACGAGGUCAGGAUUUCAAGACCAUCCUGGCUAACACGGUGAAACCCCGUCUCUACUAAAAAUACAAAAAAAUUAGCCAGGCGUGGUGGCAGACGCCUGUAGUCCCAGCUACUCGGGAGGCUGAGGCAGGAGAAUGGCGUGAACCCGGGAGGUGGAGCUUGCAGUGAGCCGAGAUCGCGCCAUUGCACUCCAGCUAGGGCGACAGAGCAAGACUCUGCCUCAAAAAAAAAAAAAAAAAAAGAAAACCCCAUCAACCUAGAUUUCUAUAUCCAGCAAAAGUAUCCUUCAAAAGUGAAGAAAACAUUGUGUAUGUAAAGGCUACAGAAUGGUGGAUUUUAUGAUGGUUUAAAAAUGGUGACAUCCAUGUUAUAGAAAUUUUUUGCUCUCACUAAAAGAAUGAAAGAGAAACAAAAACUUUUUGAGGGCCAGGCACGGUGGCUCACACCUGUAAUCGCAGCACUUUGAGAGGCCAAGGCAGGAAGAUCGCUUGAGCCCAGGAGUUUGAGACAAGCCUGAGUGACAUAGUGAGACCCCAACUUUACAAAACAAUUAAAAAUUAGCUGAGUGUGGUGGCACGGUCCUGUAGUCCCAGCUACUUGGGAGGCUGAAGUGGGAUCCUUUGAGCCUGAGAGGUCGAGGCUGCAGUGAACCGUGUUUGGCCACUGCACUGCAGCCUGGGUGACAGUCAAGACCCUGUUUCAAAACAAAACAAAACAAAAAAAACUUUCUCAGACAAGCAAAAAAAUGAGAGUUAUUGCCAGCCAAUCUGCCCUACAAAACAUGUUAAAAGCAGCUCUUAAGGGAGAAGGGAAGAGAUAUAGGUUAGAAACUCAGAUCCACAUAAAGGAACUGUCAGGAAAGGAAUACAUGAAGACAAUAGAAAAUCUUUUACAUUUCCUAUUCUUAGUUGAUCUAGUAGGUAACUGCCUGGCUAAAGUAAUAAUAGUAACAUUGUGUUGGGGUCCAUAGUAAAGGAUAGGUGAAAUCAAGAAUAGCACUCUUACAAGGGUGAGGAGAGAGGAACUGGGAAUACUCUGCUAGAAGACACCUGCACUGCCCAUGAAGUGGUAAAGUGCAAUUUGAAAGUGGAUGUUGAUUAGUUGCAAAUCUAUAUUGCGAACUCUAGGACAAUGAAUUAAAAUAUUUUGAAAGAAGUAUAAUUAUAAUGCUAGAAAGUAAAAAGAGUGGAAUCAUGUAAAAUUCUCAGUUAAACCAGAAAAGACAGAAAAAGAAGGGAAGGUAAGAAAAACAAGGACAAGUGCACCUGCUAGAAAACAGCGGCAGACAUGGUAGAUAUUAAUCCAACUAUCUCAAUAAUCACUUUAAAUGUGAAUGGCGCUAAAUAUACCAACUAAAACACAAAGACUGCCAGUAGAUUAAAAAAAAAAGACCCAAUGAUAUGUUGUCUGUAAAAAAACCCAUUUUAAAUAUAAAGACACAAAUAGCAUAAAAAUAAAGGUAUAAAGAAAGAUAUACCAUGUUAGUACUAAUCAAAAGAAAACUGGAGUAGCAGUAUUGAUAUCAGAUAAGGCAAACUUCAGAGGGAGAAAAAUGAUCAGGGAUAAAGAGGGGCAUUAUAUAAUAAGAGGGUCAAUACUCCAAGAAGACAUUGUUAAAUCCUUAAUGUGUAUGCACCUAACAACAGAGCAUCAACGUAUGUGAAGCAAAAACUAAUAGAACUGCAAGAGAAAUAGACAAGUCCACUAUUAUAGUUGGAGACUUCAACACUCUUCUAUCAGUAAUUGACACAUUUAGCAGGCAAAAAAAUCAGUAAGGAUAUAGCUGAACUGGACAAUACUGUCAAGCCACUGAAUCUAAUUGACAUUUACAGUAUACUUCAUUCAACAGAGUACAUAUUCUUCUCAAGCUCACAGGAAACAUCCACCAAGAUAGACUACAUACUUGGCCUUAAGAUACAUCUUACAAAUUUCAAAGAAUACAAACCAUAUAAAGUGUGCUCUCA
rnacentral:lncRNA from 1 species